rnacentral:rRNA from 1 species
UACGUAGGGGGGCUAGCGUUGUCCGGAUUUAUUGGGCGUAAAGGGCUCGUAGGCGGUUUGUCGCGUCGGGAGUGAAAACACGGGGCUUAACCCCGUGCCUGCUUCCGAUACGGGCAGACUAGAGGUAUGCAGGGGAGAACGGAAUUCCUGGUGUAGCGGUGAAAUGCGCAGAUAUCAGGAGGAACACCGGUGGCGAAGGCGGUUCUCUGGGCAUUACCUGACGCUGAGGAGCGAAAGUGUGGGGAGCGAACAGG